UCAAUUUCAUUGGACAAAUACUUGUUUAUGCUAUUACUUCCCUUUUGUGUUACUUGUUUUGUUGAUCUGAUUUUUUUAACGGAGUAAUAAUUAAAUUUUGCCGAUUUAAAGACCACCACGCUGUAUCAUCAAGGGGUAGUAAUGACAGAAACUUAUCUCUAUUUACGGAUUCAAGCAGUCCUAGUAGAUUCAUCAGGCAUCAUUUUAAUCAUUACAAAUUGAAGUAUCAUCCAGAUCUUUU
rnacentral:lncRNA from 1 species